AGGACCAGUUUAAGUAGUAAUUAUAUGAUAUCAAACGAUAGAUUCAUUAAAAUGCAAAGUUAUAUAAUUCAUUUAAUUGAAUUUAUAAAGUAUAGUCGUCUAAAUCGGUAGUCCAUAAUUGUUAUUGCUAAAUAGCACUACUCAAGAUUUAAUAUAGAAGGCUGACAAAUGUUUAGGGCGGGGCAUUCAAUCAGUUUACGAACUAAUGAAGGUCUUUAUACUGAAGCCCUUUUUUAUUAUUUAUUUUUGCCAUAACCUUAAUAGCAGGUUGGUAUCACAUUAUUGAAGGAUCACUUUGUCCAAAUCAUUACAUAUAUUUUGAUAGCUUUCAAUGAUGUUCAUGGCCAAGAAUUAGAGGAUAUUGUUGCAUUGACCAACAUUCCUAAAAGGUUCAAUGCCGUUUUGAUAUUUGGAAAUUCCACUUGACGUCGAAAAAGUAAAAAUCAACUCAUAUGAUGUGUUCCUUGAUAAAAUUUUGGCUUACAUUUGUGCAUGGACAAGAUCUUCACUUUCAUAUGCAGGUAGGGCCAAGUUUAUUAGAGCUGUUCUGCAAGGUACUAAAAAACCAUUGAUUGCUUGGAGUACCAUUUGCCUACCAAAGGAGGAGGGCAGCCUUGGUUUUAGAGAAAUCAAAAGCUGGAAUUUAGCUUUUCUAGCCAAAGUCCUUUGGAAUAUUCAUGCUAAGGACAUUUUAUGGGUUAAAUGGAUUAACUAAGUAUACCUUCAAGGGAAGGACUUUUUGGAGAAAAUGGCAGUAAAAAGUGACUCUCUGUUGCUCAAAAGAAUGCUGGAAAUUAUAGACGUCAUUGCUGGGAAUUAUGGGGCUACCCAUAGUGCUGAAAACAUGCUAUCCAACUAGAAUAGUGCUAGUCAUUUUUGCGUCCAUGCUGCCUAUGAGCAUUUUCGGCCGAAGGGAGAAAAGAAAGUUUGGAGAUCUUUUAUCACUCCAAAACAUGCAUUUAUCUUAUGGUUGGGUACUCAAUUGAAGCUACUCAUUAAGGAUCGGUUGUUGUAUCUCAAUAUUGACAAAAAUUAUGUUUUCUGUGGGACACAUUUGGAAAUGAGACAGCAUUUAUUUUUUCAA